ACAUUGCCUCCGAAAUAUAGAUCGCUGCAUCAAGCCUGGAUGUAAUUAUCUCCUGAGAAACAAACUUUUAAUAACUUAACUGCCCGUCUAUUAGAUGAAGAAGCAAGCUUCGCAUCUGUAGAAGAACAAGAGACAGCUCUUCUAGUAUCUGGGAAGACCUGGAAGAAUUAACCAAACAGAAUAGAUAUCUACCGUCACAGAAUCAGCCACAGGCAUCUGGGAGUGUUACAAAUCAAAAUAGAAACACAAAACAUCGUGUUUAAUGUUAUAAUUGUGGAAAACGGGUGAGAGUCAGAAUGGCGGGUGUACCUAAAUAAAAAGAAUUGAAAAGCAUACCAUAUUUUUGUACCUAAUUUGUACUAUUUAGUACCUCCAUUAAAAAAAAUUGUACCUCACGGUACAUAAAGUUAUCAUCAAAAAACAGUACACCCGCCAUCCUGACAGAAGUUACGCUAUGUUCCCGUGGUUAUUGAUAAAGCCAAUUUUUUGUACCUUUUUUGUACCUUCAUAUUCAAUUAUAAUGAGUCAUUUUAUUUGUGGUUUCCAAGUUUUACUCAUUUUAUAUUUUGCUUGCUAUUACAAUUUUGCAGGUGUUAUAAUGUUUCAAGUUAUCGAUUUCGUUUUUAGAAAAAACGCUAAGGUACAAUUAUUUUUAUUACGCCAGGAUUUAGUACCUUUAAUAUUUAAUCUGUUAAGUUCAAAUAACUCAGAAAAUCAUGUCUGAUGAAUUUUUGGAUAGUGGGCUCGGCUCGUCAUCGGCUCACAUUACUUUUAGAAAGGAUUUCUUCUCAGAACUUUAUGAGUGCGACCAGAAAUCUUUAACUUUAGGGAACAAACAAACUGUUGAAGUUUGUGGUAUCGACAAAGUGUUAAUAAAAAUACUUUUCAAUGGACAGUGGAAGAAUAGUGAACUGCAACGCGUGCUAUAUGUACUUACCAAGUUUUCAGAGAAACUUUUUUUCUGAGGGUGUGAUAAUAAAAAAAUCAAACACUAUCAUAAAGAAAGUCUCAAGUGCUUUAACCUAUAGACAACCAAGUCGUUAUGAGUGCUAAAAUCACAGAAAAUAAUUUGUAUAUGUUAAAUAUAAAAACGAUGGUUCCAGAGAAUUGUAAUUUAGUGCUACAAUAACAAAAUGACAUUAAAAAGUGGCAUGAACGCCUGUCAUAUUAAUCUAAAAGAACUUAAAACAAUGUGUGCAAACAGUGUUGUUGAAAUAAAAGACAAUCAAAAGACCGACUUUGUCUGUGAGGCAUGUGGAUAUGGGAAACAGUGCAAGUUUCCAUUUCACAAUUCUGUAAGAGGAGAACUACAGCCUGGCGAUUUAGUAUACAGCGAUGUAUGUGAACCAAUGAGUCACACAUCAGUCCAAGGAAUGAGAUACUUUGUGUUAUUCAAAGAUGCAGCUACAAGUUACAGGCAUGUAUAUUUUAUUAAAAAUAAAAGUGAUGUCCUAGAAGUAUAAUAAUAUUGUGAAAAAUAAAUACAUGCACAGUGUGAACAACCUCUAGCCAGACUCCAAUGAAAACACCAUUUGAGCUGUGGAAUGGCACCAAACCUCAGCUAGGCCAUGUAAAGGUGUUUGGUAAUGUCGGCUAUGUCCAUAUUCCCGAUCAGUUAAGAACAAAGUUGGAAAAGAAAAGUAAUGUUGGUUCUGACAACACUAACUGCAGAAUGUACGACAUAGAUACAAAGACAAUAAAAAUUUCAAGAAAUGUCAUCUUCGAUGAGAGUUAAGUACCAGAAAUAAGAAGAAACAUAGUGCAAUUGUGCCUUGAAGAUGAUAGUGAAGACAAGAACAGUGAAGAUACAUCCAUGACGCUUUAAUUACUUUGGCUAUUGAAACAUAGAACACUGAUGUUCAAGUCUCUCAUGAGGACUACCACUCUAGCCGAACAGUUAAAGAUUUCAGCUUUAUACUCGUAGUUUGGUUCUAUAUAUGAUAAUUAGCUUAAGAUAAUUAUAUGUAAUACUGUCUUACUAUUCAUAAGUGCUUGUUGCUAGGCCUACAUUAAUAAAGUAUAUUUGAACUUUGAACUUUGUUACCUGGUAUGACAUACUUUUAAGUAAGUAAAUCUCUACAAUCAACAGAUAUGGAUCUCAGUAAAUGCACAUAAAUUUUAAUUUUAUUAACUGCACAUUCUUGGAAGAUUAUAGAAAAACAGGUUUUAAAACCGCCAUUUUGACUGCGGAGGAAUCGGCUGAAGAAAUUGAACCUAUGUUUAGAGCUAUAAUAAGAAUUCGACGUGUUAAGCGGCAGGCUGGCGAAAAUGUCCGCGAUGAGCCUAUAACUUGUCCAGAAAAUAAAUUCGAGUCCGAAUUUUUUUACUGUCUUUUAGACACCACAAUAAUUUCAGUCGAUGAAACAUUCAAACAAUUAAAUGACCACUCGGAAUAUUGGUCUUUUUAAUACAAUAUAAAACAGAUUCCGGAAAAACCCGGCCUUGUCAAGCUAUAUGGUGAUCUUCAAUUAAAAUUAACUGUAGACUCUAAGUCAGAUAUAGAUGGUUGUAUGCUGUGUGAUGAACUCAUAAGUCUGAAAUCUUGUCAUGUUGUCAUCAAAAUGUGGUCACUUCUAUUUUUGUUUUAAAUUUUUUCAAAGAUAUUACAGGAACUAUACCCAAAUGUAUAGAUAGCGUUGCGAAUAUUAUUAACUAUACCUGUAACGGUAGCUAAUGGGGAGAGGAGUUUUUCUGAGCUUAAGCUGAUAAAAACCUUGCUGCGAUACACAAUCGCUUGCUUGCGACAAUAUCUCAAUUUCGAUUGGCAAACUUGGCAACUUUGUCAAUCGAAAAUGAAAUUGCUGAAAACAUCGACUUUAAUAAUUUAAUAAAAGAGUUUGCUGAUAGAAAGGCUACAGGAGUCAAAUUUUACUAAUUUUAUUUGAAUAAAUGGAAGUUUCUUAUAAUAAAUGGUCUUUUCAUUUUAUCCUUUGCCUUUUCUCGUAUAGGUUUGAAUUGCAGUUAGGGGCGCCGUAGAAAUCUCGCCCAGGGUACUGGUAGUGCUAAAACCGGCACUGAUAGUAUUAUUAUUAAGUCGCUGUCAAUUUAGUUAUGCUUAUGUACUUAGUCCAAGCUCACAAGCAAUACUUGAAAUUAUAGUAUCAUGCUAAUGAUAUAAGGUACCACACGCAUAGUGGAAUCAGUACUGAAUUCAUCAAAUUAUAGACAAAAUCAGACGGAAAUAAUGAAACUUGUCUAUGGUUGCAAAAUUGGUCUAUGGCCUCCAUUUUAAAAAAAUCAGCUACCAUAGACAAAUUGUCUAUGAAUGGAUGAAUUCAGAUGUGGAUUUCACUAUGAGUGCAGAGCGACUAUAUAUGUAACAGAAGUUGGUCUCAAAGCUAUCCCAGAAAUCAAAAUAACCAUGUGUAUACCGGAUCAUAAAAUCCAUCAGGCAACACUCAACCGACGCUUCUAGAACGGAAAGAAGUUCAUGUUUUUUCUCAAGGCGUGGCUUUGUGAUAAUAAUUUGAUUGCGCAGUUUUUCGCACUUACUUACAGUUGUUAUGUUGCUGACCUUAGUAUAAUAUUGAAAAGAAGAAUUGCAAUAACUUCUAGCUAACGAGAAAAAAUAGAAAUGGAUGAAACGAGCUUGCUACUUCAUUCAUGGGGUAUUUCACCUGAAGAGGUGAAAAUUUUCCUUGGCAAGAUUUAAUUGUUAGUUAUUCAAAUCAAUAUUCCUAUAUGUCGGUCCUAUUUUGUAAAUAUUGAGCAAUCUGUUGGAAUAAAGUUCUUUGGACGUUUUGCCACUGUCUGGUCCCUAAACUAAAUGUUAUUUUAUAUUUUUAGAUAAUGAUAUUUCAGUCGAAAAGUUUAAUGACUAGACGGAUGCCUAUCUGAAGGAACUCUGUCCUUAUAUAGGACAAAGAAUUACAUUAAAAACCUACAUCCAUGAACUGCUGAAUUAUUUUGCUGAAACAGAAACAACAGCCAGCGCAAUCGACAUGAAUAUUGAAUAGGGAUGUCAGUUCUUUCAAGAGUAGAAGACCCAAAAUUAAGUCUCAUAGUCAGUAACAUAAAUAGACCCCCGCUGCCUGAGUUUGAUAUGAAUACAUUGUUGCAAACAUCGGCCCAUGCCAAUAGUGUGCUUAAUUAUUAUAAGUCAUUUAAGAUACUCAAUGCAAAGAAGCGCAAUAUAAUGGUGGACAUUAUCAUGGUACAGCACCUUCAUCUAUAUUAAUAAUUUCGUCAAGGGGUACGGUAGACUCGAUCGAAACCUUAUAUGAAUAACAAAACAUAAAAAAAUAUUGAUUUCGAGUCGACAACAUAUAUACGCAAAAUUCGGAUUAUGGAGAAUUUCGUUAAAUUCUAAUGGCACUGAAAAACAAACCGUAGUCGCCAUCUUGGGUAUUUAAUAAACGUUCCGUUUUAUACUAGCUCUUAGAUACGCCUCGCCUCGCGUCGCGCCAAAGAAGUAUCCACCACAAAGAACUCUGACUCAUGUGACUGUGUAAAACGAAAUGUUUUGCCGGAAACAUUGAGUGAAUCAUAACAAAACUAAUGCAUACUAAAUACUUUUCUUCAGUCGUUGACGUUUCGCGAAAAUAUUGUUUUUGACACUUUUAUGAUAUAAGUACUCUUUGUUAUGUGUUUUUUUCUUUAAAUUAAACCUAAGAUUGAUCGAUUGCGAUAACAACCAUAGAAAAAAUAAUACUUACCCUAACCAUAGAAGUAAAAGUUUUAGUUCAAAUGUCAGUUGCAUAGUGACACACAUUAUGCCGAAAAUCGUAAGUAUUUCAUAAAAUCUUUCAUUGGUCGUAUCUUUGUCUUUGUUUGGUCUUUUGUUUGAUGAUACCUUUACCAUUUUGUUAACAGCCGAAUCUCCUUGCCUUUGGUAAACAUUGUCACAAUUGUGGAAAGUGGAUGCAGCGAAGGGCUCUUCGUAAAGAUGGUAAGUAAUAUUUUAGUAGGUAUAUAGACAGGUUGUGUUUUUAAGUGAAUUUUGUUCUGUUUUCUUCUUAAAGGGUGGAUUGAAAAAAUUUUGCAUUUAAAUAAAGUAAGUACUUAUUUACUUCCAGUGGCAUGCAAUUUUUGUGACGGCAAAAUAUUUGCAAGAAAAUGCAAGCAAAUGCAAAUGUGCAGUCGAUGUGUAGAAUGCGACAACAUUAUACUCGAUAAUUUCUAGAAACAAUUAGGCAGUUAAGAAUAACCAAGGCUCGGGCACUUUCAAACCUUUUUCCAAAAAAUCUAACUGCUCCUUUUUCAUCUGCCUCUACAAUACAACCUGACAAAUCCCAAGAUUUAUUUGAAGACUUUCGGGUCGAUAACGAAGAGUUGACGUUAAUCGAAGAGUCGUUGGUGACUGAUGAUGUUUCUUCGGACAACGAGAAAAAACAAGAAUCAAUGCUGUCAGUCAGCAGUUAUUUUAUUUCUUUAGAAGAAGAGGACAAAGAAAAGAUAUAUUUGUGUGUGCAGAAAUACCUGAUCCAGAUAAAGACCAGGAACUUUUUCAGACGGUGUCAAAAAACAUGAUCCAUGGGCCAUGUGGCCCUGGAUAUAUGGAUGAGACGGAUCACCUGGGAGUUUUUAAUAAAAGAAAACGAGGUAACAGCUAUAGUCAUUGUUGAUGCAUUUACGAAAUUUGUUAACAUCACUCCGGUGCGAGAUACAAAGUCAACUACCUGUGUUCGGGUUUUAAGGGAGCACAUCAGUUACUUGGAGGCCCCAGCCCGACUAAUUACUGACCUAGGCACCAGUUUUACUCGAAGCAAGUUUAAAGACUACGUGGAAAAUACAGGAAUAAAACAUAUUUAUAACGCUGUAGCAACACCACGGGAAAAUGGACUAGUGGAACGGUAUAACCGCACAAUACUGGCAUCUUUGGGAGCAAUGAACUACGACACCCCGGGGCACGUGGGAUAGCUAUUUACCAGAUAUUCAAUUAGGAAUAAAUAUCACUAUACAUUCUUCCACUAAGAAAACUUCGUCAGGACUUCUAUUCGGCAGGCGAGUUACAAAUCCUUAUGAAGGCAUAUUGAAUGAUGUUUUUGACGAUUUAGGUAGCGGCGUCAUAAAGCGCAGUUUAGAAGAAGUGCGCCAAGAAGCUAAAAGCUUAAUCGACGAUCAACAAAUCAAAGAUAAGUACGAUAAGCAACAUAUAGAAAAAAGAACUAACGAGGAUGAUCUUGCUUACAAGAGCCACUCCUGGUCUGGAUGGACUGUCUAAAAAAUUAGAGGACCAUACCGAAGUAAGAAGGAAAUACCUUCCAAAUGACAGGUUACAUAAUAGAAGACACACCAAACGUUACACUGAAAAUAAUGGCUAACAUAGUCACAAAAUACGCUUUGUCAUGUUUCCUUUAGUUACGGGCACAAUAAGUAUUGUAGUUGUAAAAAAGUGAGUAUAUUUACUAUGACAACUUUUUUGUUGUCAAAUAUUUAUUGCAGUAUUAACAAGUCGUAUUUUGCCACAGAAUAAAUAUUUUGUUAGAUUUGUUAACUUGACAACUCUAUUUUGGGAUUUUAACACGUUAAACACCUACUCAACAAAGCGCAUUUGUGAAUUAACCAACUUUAAUAUGAAUACGGUAACAAAGUCAACUACUUAAAAAAGCGCAUUUGUAUCUGCAUUAAAUGGUUUUAUUGUUAUAUUGACAACGUAGAAAAUGGCUUAAAUGCAAUAAUAAAACGCACAAAAUGGAGGGGCGGCGGAGAACGGAAGUGUGUUGCGAAUUUAACACGUUCACUGCGGGUUGAGUCAAAUCCGCCUCAAUCUCGACUUUACGCUGGUGCGGGGCUAAAAGUUCGUGUUAUCUCUCUCGUGCGGGAACUUCUGCCGUUUAACUACAAGGCGUACGACAGAGUCAAAUAUACAUUUCUUUAUGUUUUCCAAAGCCGGACUCGUUGGUACAAAAA